CAGGGAUUGCCCUAGUAACGGCGAGUGAAGCGGCAACAGCUCAAAUUUGAAAUCUGGCGUCUUUGGCGUCCGAGUUGUAAUUUGCAGAGGGCGCUUUGGCAUUGGCAGCGGUCCAAGUUCCUUGGAACAGGACGUCACAGAGGGUGAGAAUGCCGUACGUGGUCGCUAGCCUUUACCGUGUAAAGCCCCUUCGACGAGUCGAGUUGUUUGGGAAUGCAGCUCUAAAUGGGAGGUAAAUUUCUUCUAAAGCUAAAUACUGGCCAGAGACCGAUAGCGCACAAGUAGAGUGAUCGAAAGAUGAAAAGCACUUUGGAAAGAGAGUUAAAAAGCACGUGAAAUUGUUGAAAGGGAAGCGCUUGCAGCCAGACUUGCCUGUAGUUGCUCAUCCGGGUUUUUACCCGGUGCACUCUUCUAUAGGCAGGCCAGCAUCAGUUUGGGCGGUUGGAUAAAGGUCUCUGUCAUGUACCUCUCUUCGGGGAGAACUUAUAGGGGAGACGACAUGCAACCAGCCUGGACUGAGGUCCGCGCAUCUGCUAGGAUGCUGGCGUAAUGGCUGUAAGCGGCCCGUCUUGAAACACGGACCAAGGAGUCUAACAUCUAUGCGAGUGUUUGGGUGUCAAGCCCGAGCGCGUAAUGAAAGUGAACGGAGGUGGGAACCUUUCGGGGUGCACCAUCGACCGAUCCUGAUGUCUUCGGAUGGAUUUGAGUAAGAGCAUAGCUGUUGGGACCCGAAAGAUGGUGAACUAUGCUUGAAUAGGGUGAAGCCAGAGGAAACUCUGGUGGAGGCUCGCAGCGGUUCUGACGUGCAAAUCGAUCGUCAAAUUUGGGCAUAGGGGCGAAAGACUAAUCGAAC
rnacentral:rRNA from 1 species